UGGAAUACAAGGUUCAUUUUGCAAGUAAAAGUCAACAUUUGGGGUAGGCUUGUAAGUUCACACUCAAUUGCAGGCCUUAGUUGCAAUGUUUUAACAAAAUUUGCCACAAAAUCAAAAGAUUCCGUCAAAAAGCUUCGGGCCUACUUCAUCUUCUCCUCAAGCAGAGCUUUGACGUUUCUCUUCUCCUCUCCGCUGCCCAAAUCAAAUCCCUAAUUGUAACCAUCAAACCACCUCAAGCUUCGGCUACAGCUCUUGCCAAGAACCCACAAGACAAAUCGCUGCGGCUUCUACCAGGAACCCACAAGCUACAGCCGACAGCUAUUGCAGAAAAAGUUCAUCUUCUGCAUUGGGUGAAAAGCUUAGCAGCAAAAUCAUCAUCUUCCUCUCUCAUACUCAUACUACUUUGAAAGUGUUUAAACAUGAGUGCAAUGGUGACUAAUUAAUGGCGUGUGAAAUUAGGAUGGAAAUGUACAAAUUUUACUUUUUCUCAAGCUUUUUUCGUUUACAUUGUAGGAAAUCAUAUGAUACCAGGAAUUCUAUUCUGUUGGAUGGUGCUCUUUUUUUUUUCUCAAUAAUUGAAAUUU
rnacentral:lncRNA from 1 species